rnacentral:rRNA from 1 species
UACGGAGGAUUCGAGCGUUAUCCGGAUUUAUUGGGUUUAAAGGGUCCGUAGGCGGUCUUUUAAGUCAGUGGUGAAAUCCCAGAGCUCAACUCUGGAACUGCCAUUGAAACUGAAGGACUUGAAUAUGGUUGAGGUAGGCGGAAUACGUUAUGUAGCGGUGAAAUGCAUAGAUAUAACGUAGAACACCAAUUGCGAAGGCAGCUUACUAAGCCAUUAUUGACGCUGAUGGACGAAAGCGUGGGGAGCGAACAGG